rnacentral:rRNA from 1 species
UACGUAGGGGGCAAGCGUUGUCCGGAAUCAUUGGGCGUAAAGCGCGUGUAGGCGGCCCGAUAAGUCCGCUGUGAAAGCCCACGGCUCAACCGUGGAGGGUCAUUGGAAACUGGGGAACUUGAGUGCAGGAGAGAAGAGUGGAAUUCCACGUGUAGCGGUGAAAUGCGUAGAGAUGUGGAGGAACACCAGUGGCGAAGGCGACUCUUUGGCCUGUAACUGACACUGAGGCGCGAAAGCGUGGGGAGCAAACAGG